rnacentral:tRNA from 1 species
GGGUUAUAGCUCAGUAGUAGAGCACUUGCCUGGUAUGCCUGAGGCCCUGGGUUCAAUCCUCAGUCCCA